GGAAAAAAUUACAAUAUAAAGAACUUCUGACACCAUGGUCCGUGGCGUCGGGAGUUCUUAACUAAAACUUCCCAUGCCUAUCAUAUGGCACCAAGAGUUGCUUUGUAAAACAUCAAUUUUGAGUCCUAAUUUCUCAUUUUCCUCUCUGCCUCCAAACUCACUACAACUUCUCUUUGUCGCACUGAACCUCCAUCGGCCACCCAAUCUUCAUCCGCCUACCUCUCAUUGUCCUCCAACCGAUAUCGUUUCAUUAGCCAUUACUCCUCCAUCACGAGUAUAGAAACAGCUGCCAAUUUCGACUCCUCUUUCGUGAAAAUGAUGCCACACCAACUUCUAUUUCCUACCCAUUUUGAAGGUUCAAGCUAUUUCUAUUUCGAUUGAUUUCAAGGAGUUGAGGAUAACAAUUGGUGAGACUUUGAGUUUGGAGUUAUCUAAGAGUGUAAUGGUGCUUGGAGGAAGAUACUAUGUCAACACUUAACAAGCAAUAUGAGAAAGGGAAGAACAAAGAUAAACAAUAGAGAUGCAUGCAAGACAAAUGGAAGAAAUGAAAAAAAAAAUUAAUGAAUAAAUGGCAUGAACACAGAGAGACUAUGAAAUUAGGUAUUCUUUCUUCAAAGUUUUAAUUGCCUAAUAGAUUCCCAUCUUGCAGUUAUGGGAGCACAUUAGAUAUGUCGUAUUAUUCGAUUUAUGAAAACUAAUUGUGGUUAUCCUAUAAUAGUAGCAUUGUGUGUGUUGUGGUUAAA